rnacentral:lncRNA from 1 species
CUCUGGCGCAAAGCAACAUACCUGGCGUCUGACGUGUGACUCAGGCUGCUUGGGUCUCGGUUUGAGGUGUUGUGUUUGUUUUGUGUUUGAACUGAGCGGGCGCCAUCGGGUCUCCCAUCCCUGUCCUUCUGGGGAGUUCUCAUGCAGCCUCCCCAAACAGUAGGGAAAACUGGAGUUCGGCCUGGAUUGGGAGUCAGCAUAGCCCUGCGGAGAAAGUGUGAGCAGCCUUACUUUCACUGUUUAGGACCUAAAACCAAGGCCCAGUAACGUCUGCGUGAUGUUUCCUUGUAACCAUUACUAUACAUCCUUUAACAGCCAAGCACCUGUAAGCCUGUCUCCGUGAAAAGAAAUGGGAAAGAAAAGAACAGUACAAGUUUAUCUUAAAUGACUGAGACCGGAA